rnacentral:rRNA from 1 species
GACGAACGCUGGCGGCGUGCCUAAUACAUGCAAGUAGAACGCUGAAGGAGGAGCUUGCUUCUCUGGAUGAGUUGCGAACGGGUGAGUAACGCGUAGGUAACCUGCCUGGUAGCGGGGGAUAACUAUUGGAAACGAUAGCUAAUACCGCAUAAGAGUAGAUGUUGCAUGACAUUUGCUUAAAAGGUGCAAUUGCAUCACUACCAGAUGGACCUGCGUUGUAUUAGCUAGUUGGUGGGGUAACGGCUCACCAAGGCGACGAUACAUAGCCGACCUGAGAGGGUGAUCGGCCACACUGGGACUGAGACACGGCCCAGACUCCUACGGGAGGCAGCAGUAGGGAAUCUUCGGCAAUGGACGGAAGUCUGACCGAGCAACGCCGCGUGAGUGAAGAAGGUGUUCGGAUCGUAAAGCUCUGUUGUAAGAGAAGAACGAGUGUGAGAGUGGAAAGUUCACACUGUGACGGUAUCUUACCAGAAAGGGACGGCUAACUACGU